rnacentral:ribozyme from 13 species
UCACUGUUUUUCGCUUCUUGCUUUUUUCCGACUUUUCCUUCUCUUUUUCCUGUUUUUCCUUGUCUUUCUCUUUGAGUGUCCCAGUGCGACUGAAAGCAGGGAGGGACAUCC